rnacentral:sRNA from 1 species
GCUGGGCGUGGUGGUGCACACCUGUCAUCCCAGUGGCUCAGGAGGCUGAGGCAGGAGGAUCAAGAGUUCAAAGCCAGCCUCAGCAAAAUCAAGGUGCAAAGCAACUCAGUGAGACCCUGUCUCUA